UGGGAUUGCUCAGUCAGUAGAGCAUGGAGCUCUUAUUCUCAGGGCGGUGGGUUCGAGCCCCACAAUGGGCAAAA